UCUUAGCUUGCUAAGGCUGAUGGCGACCGGCGCACGGGUGAGUAACACGUAUCCAACCUGCCGUCUACUCUUGGCCAGCCUUCUGAAAGGAAGAUUAAUCCAGGAUGGGAUCAUGAGUUCACAUGUCCGCAUGAUUAAAGGUAUUUUCCGGUAGACGAUGGGGAUGCGUCUGAUUAGCUUGUUGGCGGGGUAACGGCCCACCAAAGCGACGAUGGAUAGGGGUUCUGAGAGGAAGGUCCCCACAUUGGAACUGAGACACGGUCCAAACUCC
rnacentral:rRNA from 1 species